GGGUAACCCCGCCAGCCUAUCGACCCAGUCCCAGGACCGACGAUUAGGCGCCAGAAGGGAGGCCUUCAGAUGGAAAGAGAGGGCCUAUUUUUUGGAGCAGCUGCUAAAUGCAACACUGCAGGAACUGGGGCAAUGUGUGGCCCAGUUAAGAGGGGGGAUGGCGGAGGAGGAGGCCGCAGAGCACCUCCAUAGCCUCUUGGAAAAGAUGCAGUGCAAACUAGACAUACCG